AAGGAAUUUAAAAGUUGCAUCAUUUUUCAUUCAUAACCUGUAUCGUUGUUUGUCGCAUGUGGACUUUUUUCAACCACUCCAAUAUAAAAACUUCUCCAAGGGAGUUUAGACAGAAUUAUGGUCCCAUGCUUCCUCUGGCAUUUUGUGGUCAGCUAAGGGCCAUUUCAUUUAAAUAUUGACAGGAUAGACCAUGACAUCAAUGUUAAACAAAUGCGAUUGCAACACGAUCUUACGUCACAAGUGACAACUUAAAACUUGGCCAAGAAGAUUAUCCUAGCUCCCAGCUUCCCACGCCCUGCCUUUGCCGACUUUUGGUACCCAACUAAAAGCUAGCCGUCAAUUCUGAAUGUUCUGUGCAUUCUAUAUAUAAACGCAACCACCCCUUAACCUUUUCUUUAUAUGAGCACCAAAUUGGGAUAGAUUCAGUAGACUAUAAAGAACAGAGUAGAAGAGAGAUUAGGCUGGGCAAAAUGAUUCAUUUGAAGCAAGGUGAUAUGUUGGCUCAAGUAGGAUCUGUAAUUGCUAGUAUAAUGUUUGUUUGGGCCAUGUUCAAACAGUACUUCCCAUACGAACUGCGAGAUCGUCUUGAGAAGUACACUCAAAAAGUCUUCGCCUUUGUUUACCCUUACAUUCAAAUCACAUUCCAUGAGUUCACCGGAGAGCGUCUGAUGCGCAGUGAAGCUUACUCCGCUAUUGAGACUUACCUUAGCUCCAGUUCUUCUAUGCAGGCCAAGCGGCUCAAGGCUGAGGUAGUCAAGAACAAUCAGUCACUUGUUCUGAGCAUGGAUGAUAAUGAAGAGGUUGCUGAUGAAUUCAAAGGAGUCAAGCUAUGGUGGGCUUCUGGGAAGAAUGUUUUCAAGUCGCAGACAUUUUCUUUCCAUCAGUUUACAGAUGAGAAAAGGUACUACAAGCUCAGGUUCCAUAAGAGACAUAGAGAUCUCAUCAUUGGGCCAUACCUCAAUCAUGUCCUGAAAGAGGGUAGAGCACUCAAGGUGAGAAAUCGCCAGAGGAAGCUUUACACUAAUAGUGGGUCUUACUGGAGCCAUGUAGUGUUUGAGCAUCCUGCUACAUUCAAGACACUAGCAAUGGAGCCAGAGAAGAAGAAGGAGAUUAUAGAAGACCUGAUCACAUUCAGUCAGGCAGAAGAAUUCUAUGCAAGAAUUGGCAGGGCCUGGAAGAGAGGUUAUCUCCUGUAUGGUCCUCCAGGGACUGGUAAGUCCACUAUGAUUGCAGCCAUGGCCAAUCUUUUGAAUUAUGACAUUUAUGAUCUAGAAUUAACUGCUGUAAAGGACAACACUGAAUUGAGAAAGCUAUUAAUUGAGACAUCAAGCAAAUCUGUUGUUGUGAUAGAGGACAUUGAUUGUUCUCUUGAUCUCACUGGUCAAAGGAUGAAGAAAAAGGAAGAAGAAAAAGAGGGGGAUGAGAAGGAUCAGAAACCAAAAUCCCCAAAGGAAGAAAGAGAUGGGAAAAGCAGCCAAGUUACUCUUUCUGGACUAUUGAAUUUUAUCGAUGGGUUAUGGUCAGCUUGUGGAGGAGAAAGGCUCAUCGUCUUCACAACGAAUUUUGUGGAGAAACUUGACCCAGCUCUUAUCAGGAAAGGAAGGAUGGACAAACACAUAGAAUUGUCCUAUUGCAGCUUUGAGGCAUUCAAGGUGUUGGCUAAAAAUUACCUUCAACUUGAAUCACACCACCUGUUUGAUAAAAUUAGUGACUUGUUGAAGGAAGCCAAAAUGACUCCUGCCGAUGUAGCUGAGCAUUUGAUGCCGAAGACUGUUCCUUGGAAUGCUGAAGUCUGCUUGGAGAGUCUUAUUGGAGCCCUUGAAACGGCAAAAGAGGAAGCGAAGUUGAAAGCUGAGGAAGGACAACGAGAGAAGGAAUCAUCAUCAGCCAGAGAAGAAGCGAAAGAGGCAGAUAACAAGGGCCCAAUAUCAGGAAAAGAGUAGUAGAAAAUCUAAAGCUUUUGAAAUAACCAGAUAUGAUGAAAUUAGAACCAGUGGUUUUCUGUUAAUAUUUUCUCCCUAAACACAGCAUGACAGCAAUUAGGCCAUAUCCUAUGGUUCCAUUCCAAUCAUUAUCAAUGUAAUCCAAUUCUUUUUUCAAUGGAUGAUGUCCCAAAAUCUGUAGUGUAAAAAAAGUCCCAAUUCCUUUUAACUUUCUGUUCAUUUCUGUGAUUUUCUGGGCUGGCUCUCGUUGUUGAGAAAUAGGAAAGGAGAAUAACCGGCUGCUAACCAGUCAUUAGG
rnacentral:misc_RNA from 1 species